rnacentral:tmRNA from 1 species
GGGGGUGUAAAGGUUUCGACGGGGAUAGAGAAGUAAGUUAAGCAGGUGGUUGUGCGGAGCAACCUUAAAAUCCGUAAUUUUAAAUUUAAACGCUAACGAUAAUUUAGCUUACGCUGCCUAAUUAAGGCGGCCGUCUGACUCGUAUUACCGUGGUAUGAGAAUCAGGCGUUGACUACACGGUGCACAUGAGUAUGCAAAGCUUUGAGCAUACCAGGAACAAUGAAGCUACCAAGGAAAGAGCCUUGUUUGCGGGACACUUUCUGAGGGAAUUUCUAACCACAAACUAAACCUGUAGAAAGACUUAUGGACAUAUUUUCGGACAGGAGUUCGAUUCUCCUCAUCUCCACCA